CACGCACACGCGUGGAAGGAGGAAAAAAUGAAGCGUCCACAACACAGCACACGCGUACGGCGUACGGGGUGCUCCUCUGUCUCGUAGUCUCCUUCCUCCCAACUACCAAUUCCCCUUUCUCUGUCAAGCGUUGCGGUGGCGGUGCCUUUGAUUUGAUGCCGUCGUCGCCAAAUCGCUGGAGCUGGCCUGCAAUUGGCGCUCUCCUUGCCUGCACCGCCGGCACCCGGCAACCGAGUUGCCUUCUGACGGCCUGCCGCGCCAUCCCGUCAAAGCCUAACCCGAGCAGGACGGGAAAAGGCUGUGCUAGCCAGAGUGAAAGACACUGGAGAAGUGGAUUAUAGGGGGCAAGCCGACAGCUACGAUUGACGGCAUGCAGCCUUCGGUCAAAGGAAAGCAGCCACACACCGUCGGAAGCUGAGGAUCCGUUCCAUCAGCGGCGGUCGGACGAAGGCGGCAGCACCCGUCGGUGCAGCGGAACACUGGAUGCAGCUUGAUCCACCACAGUUACAUCCUUGGCGGUGGUAACCGUGAAUCCUUCCAACUUGCCGCCGCUGGGCCGAAUGUUGGAAGAGAGCCGGCGUGGCCACGACUGUCUCUCGAGCCGGGAUUUCAACAGCACCACCAGUCGCAUGGGGUGAGCAAGGCUGCAAGGGAAGAUUUUAUGGAUCUUUGAAGUAUUCAGAAGAAGAAAAUCACGAAGAAACUAUAGGGCCCUGAGAUGAGCUGGAAAAAAAAGGAAAAGGGAGAAUUAAGCUGCAGGAGCACCUAUGGGCACAGGGAGGAGCACUGUUCAGUGGCAAAUGAAAAGAAGGCAAAGCAUCAGCAAGCAUAGAUUCAGUCGUCAGUAGCUGGAAUGGAAAUUAUUUUUAAGUUAACAAGAAAUGGUACAAGACUUCUGUGUCAUGGAAGGCUCCAGAUGCAGAUAGUCACUUUCAUUCAUGAACCCUGGCAACCUGGGAAGCUCAUGGAAGCACCAGACUUGGAUCCCUUGUUGAAAUAAAUAAAGGAGUAUGGUCAAGAAUGGGCAAACAAGACUUACCCCUUGCACUUGGAGCAGAGGACAUUAUGGGAAAGUGGGAGCUUCCACUCUUGCAACAUACUACCAUGGUGUUUAAGGCGUCCGCCUUAGGACGCUUAGGUGAUAGAGCGCCCCCAGCGCCUUAGAGCUUUGUUCACUUUAGGUCCUAUUUAGGCGGUAGAGAGCCCCCCGGCGCUUUAGGACACCUUACCGCCUUAAAACCCACGAUAUAGUUGGGUCAUGCAUAUAUGAAAUGAAUCAACGCAUAUGUCAGCAAUCAGGCCAUUCCAUCAACUGAAAGUCAGCCCGCUUGGUUUUCUUGCCUUUCUUCAGAUUUGGCGAGAUCUGUUUCUCGACGUGUCGCUGGCGUUUGUCGUUUGUCAUUGCCGUUCUUCAAAUCUUCAGACUUUCCAUAUUGUAAUAUUGUAAUAUUCAGACUUUCAAGGGUUCUCAAUGGCGCGGACUCUGCAGCACCAUUGACACCGUUGUAAUCUGUAUGGAACGAGGCGAGAGUUCGAA